rnacentral:rRNA from 1 species
AGAGCUCAAAGUUGGAAUCCGGCCGCCCUAGGUGGUAGGAAUUGUAAACUGGAGAGGUGUUUUCCAGGCGAGCCAGGCAAAUAAGUCCUUUGGAACGGGGCAUCAUAGAGGGUGAGAAUCCCGUCUUUGGCCUGAGCUAUUCGUCUAAUGUGAUACACUUUCAAAGAGUCAGGUUGUUUGGGAAUGCAGCCUAAAUUGGGUGGUAAAUCUCACCUAAAGCUAAAUAUUGGCGAGAGACCGAUAGCGAACAAGUACCGUGAGGGAAAGAUGAAAAGAACUUUGAAAAGAGAGUUAAACAGUAUGUGAAAUUGUUGAAAGGGAACCGUUUGGAGCCAGACCGGCCGUUUUAUAAUCAAUCUCUGCCUCGGUGGGGAUGCACUUGUAGGACGUUGGCCUGCCAACAGCAAUUUUGCCUGGUGGAAAAAACCAGGAGGAAUGUGGCCCUUCGGGGUGUUAUAGCCUCUUGGAAAAUACAUUGGGCGGGAUUGAGGACUGCAGCAAAUGCUCUUUAGGGCGAAAGAACUGGGCGCUUGUGCUUAGGAUAGUGUAGAAUCUCUGCUUCGGGUGGUGCUAUGCUCUGAGGCGCAACUCGGCCAGACUCUUUUCUAUUUUGCU